GAGCGCGGCCUCUAGCGGCGGCUUUUGGUAGUUCAUAUGGAUUGCCCCAUUUCUCUUCAAUUGAGGGGAUUUGUGGGUGUAAGAGAGAUUGUAUUUCUUCUGCCCGCUUGACUGACGAAGAGUUCUGUGCCACCCGGCAGGUUGCGUGCUACUGCUUUGGUUGGACCUUCUAAAUAAAAAGUCAGAUGCACUUUAGCAGCCCAUACCACCAGUGGAAACAUUUUGCCAAAUUAUUGUUUGGACCGAAGAAUAUAACCGGCAUGGCGCCUGAGAGAGACUGCAGUGGUUAUUGUCCUAGAUUCAGUUUCCACCAGGUGUUUAAACGUACUAAGCUGCUGACUGUGUCUGGUUCCGAUGAGUCAGAGGAAUCAUAAGAGUCAUCAGAUGGAAUAGGCACCACCUCUGGAAUCGGUACCAGGGCACCCACUGGGCGUGCAGCUGGAAGCGGAUGUGACCCAUCACCAGCAG